AAGCUUGCUUUUCUUGAGAGCGGCGGACGGGUGAGAUAAUGCCUANGAAUCUGCCUGGUAGUGGGGGAUAACGUUCGGAAACGGACGCUAAUACCGCAUACGUCCUACGGGAGAAAGCAGGGGACCUUCGGGCCUUGCGCUAUCAGAUGAGCCUAGGUCGGAUUAGCUAGUUGGUGAGGUAAUGGCUCACCAAGGCGACGAUCCGUAACUGGUCUGAGAGGAUGAUCAGUCACACUGGAACUGAGACACGGUCCAGACUCCUACGGGAGGCAGCAGUGGGGAAUAUUGGACAAUGGGCGAAAGCCUGAUCCAGCCAUGCCGCGUGUGUGAAGAAGGUCUUCGGAUUGUAAAGCACUUUAAGUUGGGAGGAAGGGCANUAAAUUAAUACUUUGCUGUUUUGACGUUACCGACAGAAUAAGCACCGGCUAACUCUGUGC
rnacentral:rRNA from 1 species